rnacentral:rRNA from 1 species
CCNAGCUUGCUGGGUGGAUNAGUGGCGAACGGGUGAGUAACACGUGGGUGAUCUGCCCUGCACUUCGGGAUAAGCCUGGGAAACUGGGUCUAAUACCGGAUAGGACCUCGGGAUGCAUGUUCCGGGGUGGAAAGGUUUUCCGGUGCAGGAUGGGCCCGCGGCCUAUCAGCUUGUUGGUGGGGUAACGGCCCACCAAGGCGACGACGGGUAGCCGGCCUGAGAGGGCGACCGGCCACACUGGGACUGAGACACGGCCCAGACUCCUACGGGAGGCAGCAGUGGGGAAUAUUGCACAAUGGGCGCAAGCCUGAUGCAGCGACGCCGCGUGAGGGAUGACGGCCUUCGGGUUGUAAACCUCUUUCAGUACCGACGAAGCGCGAGUGACGGUAGGUACAGAAGAAGCACCGGCCAACUACGUGCCAGCAGCCGCGGUAAUACGUAGGGUGCGAGCGUUGUCCGGAAUUACUGGGCGUAAAGAGCUCGUAGGCGGUUUGUCGCGUCGUCUGUGAAAACCCGCAGCUCAACUGCGGGCUUGCAGGCGAUACGGGCAGACUUGAGUACUGCAGGGGAGACUGGAAUUCCUGGUGUAGCGGUGAAAUGCGCAGAUAUCAGGAGGAACACCGGUGGCGAAGGCGGGUCUCUGGGCAGUAACUGACGCUGAGGAGCGAAAGCGUGGGUAGCGAACAGGAUNAGAUACCCUGGUAGUCCACGCCGUAAACGGUGGGCGCUAGGUGUGGGUUUCCUUCCACGGGAUCCGUGCCGUAGCUNACGCAUUAAGCGCCCCGCCUGGGGAGUACGGCCGCAAGGCUNAAACUCAAAGGAAUUGACGGGGGCCCGCACAAGC